UGCAUGAUGGGUAGUACUUAUCUGCAAGGCUAAUUCCAUUUUAACGAGAGAAUAAGCAAAAGGUUACAUUAAGAUGCUGAAAAUUCCUGCAUUUUCCCACCUAUCUUUGUCUACCUCCAGGACAUCUAUCUCCUCAAGGUUCUUUAAUAUGGGAUAAAAAUAGACCUCACCUUCAUGACUGUCAUGAUGAUGAAAGAAGAUGAUACAAGUAAAGUGUUCUGAUUAAGUUCUGGCACAAAAAAUGCUUCAUAGAAGAAACACCCUUUCUACAAUAACAACAGAAAGAACUUCUGUUCUAAACCCAGCUGUUAUGUGGAAUUUCAAGUACGAAAAGUCAGAUUUUCAAAGGCUGCUCUAGAUUUCCACUAAAAUAUUUAAAUAUACUAUGCCAUGAAAUAUAAAGUUAUAGAAUUUUAUAUGACACACCACUGAACUAAGCAGAGACAUGCAAUUCAGUGGAAUUUUUUUUGCUAUAUGUAGAAAAUUUCUGGGCAUACUAAAAAAAGAUUUAUCAGUGACACUCCUUCCAAUGGGGUCCUAUCAAAAUCUAUCCAUAUCUGUAGCUUACCACU